rnacentral:lncRNA from 13 species
GGAAGACUGCAGGAGGGUGUGGACCUGAGCGAAAAAGAGAGAAAAAAGAGAGAGAGGCUGAGAGCCAAAGGAAACCAGGAGAAAAAGGUAGAAGAAAAGGAAGAGAAACUCUGGCUGAACAUCGGGCGUGACAACAGAGACAGAGAGAGAGUCACACGCUCGCUCGGCAGGAGUGUGUGCAGAUUGCCCUCUGUGUGCGUUUCACGUGUGUGUUGAGCAGGUGGGACUUUGAUGGGACAGUGAGCAAUGCCUCACACUCAGCAACAUCAGGUUGGCAGUAGGGGGCGACGCCCCCAUCUCCUCCUCCACCCUAUCCUCCUCCUCCCUCUCUUCUCUCUCCUCCUAUCCCACGCCCCCCAGCUCAGCCAAGGAGCCAUACACAUACCUUCUAACUACCAAAUAAAUGAAUUUAAGAAACCCCCAGUGAUCACCACCCAGCCUGAGUCCAUCACUGUGUUUGGUGCUGAAGACAUCCUCCUGACCUGCGAAGCAUCAGGGAACCCUCCUCCCGAUUUCCGCUGGACUAAAGAUGGGGAAGAAUUUAUCCCUGCCAAUGACCCGGGCCUGUCGGUGUCUCCGGGUUCUGGAACCUUCAUGAAAACCGGGGUGGUGUCAGGCCCCAUUAGCCAAUACAAGGGCAAAUACAGCUGCUACGCUGAAAACGCAUUAGGAACUGCUGUGUCUAACGAGGUCCAGCUCAUCACUGAGAAUACCCCAGCCCUGCAGAAAGAGCAGAAGGUGAAGAAGAAGGUGGAGGAAGGAGAGAGUGUGGUACUGAAAUGUAACCCUCCCUUCAGCACUGUUCCUCCUGUCAUCCACUGGAUGGACGAGCGUGAGUAUCUCUCUCUCUCUGUUUUACUCAUCCUUUAUCUCCGAAGGCCCCAGAUGAUGAGGCCCUCGGGGAGCCACAGCACUUACCACGCCCUCCGGGGCCAGAGCCUGGAGCUAGAGUGCAUCGUCCAGGGCCUCCCUACCCCUACAGUCCAGUGGGUGAGGAAGGACGGUCAGCUGUCCGAGUCCCGUACGUCCAGACAUCUGUUUGACCGUCUGCUGCGCAUCAGUAACAUCUCAGAUAGCGACGGGGGAGAGUACCAGUGUUCAGUCAACAACUCACAGGGCAAGGUCACACACACCUACACCGUUAGCGUCGAAGCGGCUCCAUACUGGACCAAGGAGCCAGUAAGCCAGCUCUAUGCCCCAGGAGAGACGGUGAGACUGGACUGUCAGGCUGAUGGCAUCCCGUCUCCUGCUGUCGCCUGGAGCAUCAACGGAAAACCCAUCACAGGCAUAGACCCAACCCCUAGGCGUACUGUGAGAGAUGGAGCUCUGAUUCUGAGAGAUGUGGUCUUCACUGAUACAGCAGUCUACCAGUGUCAGGCCCACAACAAACACGGAACCAUCCUAGUCAAUACCUACAUCUUCGUCAUCGAACUGCCUCCUCAGAUCCUGAAUGCUGACGGACAGAAGUACAACUUCACAGAGGGACAGAAGGCUGUACUGCAGUGUCAGACCUUCGGCUCUCCCAGACCUAAAGUAACAUGGGAGAGGAACAGCAGCGCUUCUCUACUGGCUGAGCCCAGGGUUAACCUGCUGACCAAUGGAAACCUCCAGAUCACCAACGUCUCCCACGGCGACGAGGGCCUGUACACCUGCUCCGUUAGCAACACCAACCUGUCAAUCAACGCUGACCUGGAUGUGCUGAACAGGACAGUGAUCCUGUCUCCUCCUGGGUCUCUGCUUGUUCAGCCUGGUAAGACGGCCAUCUUUACCUGCCUGGCACAGGUGGACCCCAAACUGACCCCUCCGCACAUUCAGUGGAAGAGGAGCGGACAGGAACUCUUUCAGUCAUACGCCGAGGACAAGUACACAUUUGAGGGCCCAGACCUGAUUGUGGCCAAUGUGCAGACAGAAGACGAGGGUGUUUACACCUGUGAGGUCAUCACCAACCUGGACAGGGUUGAGGCCAGCGGGUCCAUCAUUAUAGUCGACCGACCAGACCCCCCCACCCAGCUCCAGGUCUCUGACCCUAAGGACCGCAAUGUCACCCUGAGUUGGACCGCAGGAGAUGACCACAACAGCCCUGUCAUAGUGUUUGUGGUGGAGUUUGAAGAUGGUGACUCGAAGGAGCGGGGUUGGGAGGAGCUGAAGAGAGUCAGUGGAACUCAUGAGAGCGUGACCAUUUCUCUGCAACCAUACGUGUCCUACCGCUUCCGGGUCAUCUCCAUCAACAACAUCGGGAAGAGUGACCCCAGCAUGCCCUCUGACCUUCACAGCACCCCACCUCAAGCUCCAGACAAUAACCCAGAGAAUGUGAGGAGUGAGUCUACAGACCCAGACACCCUGGUCAUCACAUGGGAGGUGAGGCUUGUUAAAUCAAAUAAAGAUAUUGACAGCCCGAUGCAGGUGGAGACGAUAGACGAUCACAAGGUCACUCACCUGACCCUGAAGCAGUUGGACCCUCACAGCCGCUACCGCUUCUACCUGAGGGGGCGCACCUCGGCCGGGGACGGAGAGCCUAUCACCAGGGAGGGGGCUACCACACUGGACGGAGCUCCUCCGUCCAACAUCAGCUUGUAUGUAGGAGAGAAGUCUGUUAACCUGAGCUGGGUGCCAGGCCAGAGACAGAGGAGUGUGAGCUUCCAGGUCCAGUACCUCAACAAGCAAGGUACGUAUGAGCUUUUGGUUAUUUUGUCUUCAGACGGUGGGAAGUGGAAGCAGUCUGAGAAGCUGAACUCGUCUGCAUCAUUCUACCAGCUGAAAGGUCUGACCCCGGGGUCACAGUACCGCCUCAGAUUCACCUUCAGCAACAACACCUUCUGGGAGACUGAGAUCACCACAAAGGGAGCAGGUACCGGAGGCAUCAAAGAUAAGGAGGAGGGUCAGGUAGACUCUGAGGCGCGCCCUAUGAAGGAUGAAACAUUCGGAGAGUACAGGUUGGCCUGUCUAAUCAAACGAUAUACUGAUUAUUAG